AAACAUGGGACUUGAACUCUCACAGAACGAAUUUGAAGACCUCGCAGAAAGUCUACCAGUUGAUGAAACUGGAAAGGUUGAUCUAAAAAGCAUUGUGCCAAAAAUGGACGAGUUCACAGGAGAAAAGAUUAGCGUCGGUGACCUGAGAAACGCUAUUGAACAAAUUGGAGUUGAAAUGAAUGACAAAGAAUAUGUG